rnacentral:tRNA from 1 species
GGUAAAAUGGCUGAGUGAAGCAUUAGACUGUAAAUCUAAAGACAGGGGUUUAAUUCCUCUUUUUACCA